rnacentral:rRNA from 1 species
AGAGCGAACGCUGGCGGCAGGCCUAACACAUGCAAGUCGAGCGGCCGUAGCAAUACGGCAGCGGCAGACGGGAUAGUAACACGUGGGAACGCGCCCUUCGGUUCGGAAUAACUCAGGGAAACUUGAGCUAAUACCGGAUACGCCCUUACGGGGAAAGAUUUAUUGCCGAAGGAACGGCCCGCGUCCGAUUAGCUAGUUGGUGAGGUAAUGGCUCACCAAGGCUACGAUCGGUAGCUGGUCUGAGAGGAUGACCAGCAUCACUGGGACUGAGACACGGCCCAGACUCCUACGGGAGGCAGCAGUGGGAAUAUUGGACAAUGGGCGCAAGCCUGAUCCAGCCAUGCCGCGUGGAUGAUGACGGCCUUAGGGUUGUAAAGUCCUUUUAACGGGGAAGAUAAUGACGGUACCCGUAGAAUAAGCCCGGCUAACUUCGCGCCAGCAGCCGC